CUCCGGGAGCGCUGGGCGGUGGCAGGCGGCGCGCGCGUUGAACAGGAAGUGCGCGGCGUGCGGCGCCACUGUCCCACUCCACGCCGCCCACGCUGCCCCCGGUGGUCGCCGUGCACUCUCUGUCUCAAGAUUCAUCAAAGAUUGGGCAGCCAACCUUGAUCUUCGGCAAAGGCGCUCUCAUCUCAGUAAAAGCUGAAGUCCUAAGACCUCGGGAGGAAAUGGAUGCGUCGGAGCCUGAAACCAGAGCGAACACGCCACGUGCUCCCGGAUCUUAAGAGCCACUGGCUGCAGAUCAGGCACUGCGGGCUGCUCAGGGCCCUGGUGUUCCUCCCAGGCAGACCUUGGCUUCUGGUCUGAGUGAGGGGCAUGCUUUCGCUCCUGCUCAGAAUUAAAGACCAGAUGACCCUAAAGAUCACUCCAGCUCUUUGAAGCUAACAUCAGCCCAUCUGCUCCCUGUAAUCAGUAAUAUACCGAUGCUACCUAUAGAAUAAACGUGAUAGGGGUCGCUUUGACAAAGACA